rnacentral:rRNA from 1 species
AGAGUUUGAUCCUGGCUCAGAGCGAACGCUGGCGGCAGGCUUAACACAUGCAAGUCGAACGGGCACUUCGGUGUCAGUGGCAGACGGGUGAGUAACACGUGGGAACGUACCUUUUGGUUCGGAACAACACAGGGAAACUUGUGCUAAUACCGGAUAAGCCCUUACGGGGAAAGAUUUAUCGCCGAAAGAUCGGCCCGCGUCUGAUUAGCUAGUUGGUAGGGUAACGGCCUACCAAGGCGACGAUCAGUAGCUGGUCUGAGAGGAUGAUCAGCCACAUUGGGACUGAGACACGGCCCAAACUCCUACGGGAGGCAGCAGUGGGGAAUAUUGGACAAUGGGGGCAACCCUGAUCCAGCCAUGCCGCGUGAGUGAUGAAGGCCCUAGGGUUGUAAAGCUCUUUUGUGCGGGAAGAUAAUGACGGUACCGCAAGAAUAAGCCCCGGCUAACUUCGUG